rnacentral:rRNA from 1 species
UACGAAGGUGGCAAGCGUUGUUCGGAAUUACUGGGCGUAAAGGGCUCGUAGGCGGCCAACUAAGUCAGACGUGAAAUCCCUCGGCUUAACCGGGGAACUGCGUCUGAUACUGGAUGGCUUGAGAUUGGGAGAGGGAUGCGGAAUUCCAGGUGUAGCGGUGAAAUGCGCAGAUAUCGGGAGGAACACCGGUGGCGAAGGCGGUUCUCUGGGCCUGUACUGACGCUGAGGAGCGAAAGCGUGGGGAGCGAACAGG